rnacentral:rRNA from 1 species
AUUGAACGCUGGCGGCAUGCCUUACACAUGCAAGUCGAACGGCAGCGGGGGAGAAGCUUGCUUUUCCUGCCGGCGAGUGGCGAACGGGUGAGUAAUACAUCGGAACGUGCCCUGUAGUGGGGGAUAACUAGUCGAAAGAUUAGCUAAUACCGCAUACGACCUGAGGGUGAAAGUGGGGGACCGCAAGGCCUCAUGCUAUAGGAGCGGCCGAUGUCUGAUUAGCUAGUUGGUGGGGUAAAGGCCUACCAAGGCGACGAUCAGUAGCUGGUCUGAAAGAACAACCAGGCACAGUGGGAGUUAGAAACGGCCCAGACUCCUACGGGAGGCAGCAGUGGGGAAUUUUGGACAAUGGGCGAAAGCCUGAUCCAGCAAUGCCGCGUGUGUGAAGAAGGCCUUCGGGUUGUAAAGCACUUUUGUCCGGAAAGAAAUGGCUCUGGUUAAUACCUGGGGUCGAUGACGGUACCGGAAGAAUAAGGACCGGCUAACUACGUGCCAGCCGCCGCCGUAA